AUACGGAGGAUGCGAGCGUUAUCCGGGUUUAUUGGGUUUAAAGGGAGCGUAGGUGGGAUAUUAAGUCAGCUGUGAAAGUUUGGGGCUCAACCUUAAAAUUGCAGUUGAUACUGGUUUCCUUGAGUAUGGUAUAGGUGGGCGGAAUUCGUGGUGUAGCGGUGAAAUGCUUAGAUAUCACGAAGAACUCCGAUUGCGAAGGCAGCUCACUGGACUGCAACUGACACUGAUGCUCGAAAGUGUGGGUAUCAAACAGGAUUAGAUACCUUGGUAGUCCACACAGUAAACGAUGAAUACUCGCUGUUUGCGAUAUACAGUAAGCGGCCAAGCGAAAGCAUUAAGUAUUCCACCUGGGGAGUACGCCGGCAACGGUGAAACUCAAAUGAAUUGGCGGGG
rnacentral:rRNA from 1 species